AAACGAUGAGUGCUAAGUGUUAGAGGGUUUCCGCCCUUUAGUGCUGCAGCAAACGCAUUAAGCACUCCGCCUGGGGAGUACGGCCGCAAGGCUGAAACUCAAAGGAAUUGACGGGGGCCCGCACAAGCGGUGGAGCAUGUGGUUUAAUUCGAAGCAACGCGAAGAACCUUACCAGGUCUUGACAUCUCCUGACAACCCUAGAGAUAGGGCGUUCCCCUUCGGGGGACAGGAUGACAGGUGGUGCAUGGUUGUCGUCAGCUCGUGUCGUGAGAUGUUGGGUUAAGUCCCGCAACGAGCGCAACCCUUGAUCUUAGUUGCCAGCAUUCAGUUGGGCACUCUAAGGUGACUGCCGGUGACAAACCGGAGGAAGGUGGGGAUGACGUCAAAUCAUCAUGCCCCUUAUGACCUGGGCUACACACGUGCUACAAUGGAUGGUACAAAGGGCUGCGAGACCGCGAGGUUAAGCGAAUCCCAUAAAACCAUUCUCAGUUCGGAUUGCAGGCUGCAACUCGCCUGCAUGAAGCCGGAAUCGCUAGUAAUCGCGGAUCAGCAUGCCGC
rnacentral:rRNA from 2 species